UACGUAGGGGGCAAGCGUUGUCCGGAAUCAUUGGGCGUAAAGCGCGUGUAGGCGGUUACGUAAGUCUGCUGUGAAAGUCGGAGGCUCAACCUUCGAAAGCCGGUGGAUACUGCGUGACUAGAGUACGGAAGAGGAGAGUGGAAUUCCUGGUGUAGCGGUGAAAUGCGCAGAUAUCAGGAGGAACACCAACGGCGAAGGCAGCUCUCUGGGACGUUACUGACGCUGAGGAGCGAAAGCAUGGGGAGCGAACAGG
rnacentral:rRNA from 1 species